ensembl:lncRNA
CAGCUGGUGUGUUUGUUCAAAAUCAAAACAUUAGGUAAUCAUAUUAGCUCAGUAGUUGCUCAUUUUUAGGUGUAUGUUUGAAUCACCUGUGAAACUGAAAAAAAUCUCAGUGCUGAACUGCAAAUUAGAGAAAUCAGCAUGCCUGGGAUGGGUGGGGCACAAGCAUCGAUAAUUUUAAGGGCAAUCCAGGUGAUCUGAAUGUGCGUCCAAGACUGAAAACCGCUGCAGUAGCUUCAAAUCUGUCUUGUGUUGUCCUGGGUAUUUUCCUGGGCAAGUGUAUACUCCAGAACAUGUGUCUCCAUGUAUAUCUGUAUGCACCACAGAGGUGUAUAUGUAUGUGUAUCUGUAUCUAAUUGAUGCUGUAGGAUAUUUUGUAGGAUUUUCCUUUACUAAAUACAUCCAAGCUCUUCUGCAAGAUGUGAGUAUAAGGGCUUCCCUGGUGGCUCAGAUAGUAAAGAAUCCGCCUGCAAUGCGGGAGACCUGGGUUUGAUCCCUGGAUUGGGAAGAUCCCCUGGAGAAGGAAAUUGCAACCCACUUCAGUAUUCUUGCCUGAAGAAUCCCCGUGGACAGAGAAGCCUGGCAGGCUACAGUCCAUGGCAUCACAAAGAGUCAGACAUGAUUGAGCGACUAAGAACCUUAAAGUUCAGAGAGACGUCUCAAAAAAUAGUUUCCAUGUUUCUCUGUCUUCUGCCAAAGUGCUGGCAUGAUGACCCUUUUAGUCUCUCCUAGCUCUCACAGUAAUGGCUACAAGCCCAGCCAAACAUCAGGAAGCAGCUUCUUCAGGAGCUUGAAAGAAAUCAGGUCUCAUUAAACAAUAAGGGAAUGGGCCACACAGCUCACUUAUUUCCUCUGCCCUUGGAAAAAUGUAGAUUCCUUGGUGUAAAGUAGAGAAGCAAAUCAAAACUAAAUUACCUCUGUGUAAAUAAACCAUGUGACACCAAUAAUUAGGAAGCUUAAGUGUAAGAACAUGGCCUGCUAUAUGAAAAGACCAAGAUUUACUUCCAGAUCAGCUGACAAACAUCUUUAAACUCUUUGAUGAUACAAACAAAACCUUUAAGCAGUUUGAUCCUAAGCCUUCUCUUCAUCCUUCCACCAGGAUUCCAGCUGUGAUUUGUCAGAUUUUAUGGUGUUAUUAUCAGAUCUGGACUGAUGGUGCUAAUUAUUCCCCUAAAAGAUACCAGGAUUUAAUCACGGAGAAACAAUAUUUUACUUCUAUUAAAAGGAUUUUUAGAAAUUUGUUUCAUCAUACUGUCUCUAUAACUUACUAUUUUUUUUUAUUUAUUGUAUUAGAAAAUGCAGUUAAUUGUGUUGAUACUAUUUUGGGAUUCAUGACAAACAUGUAUUUAAAUGGGGUGGUAUGUAUAAGCAUGAAUAGACCAUACAUGGGUUGUUGCUGAACAAAGUCUGUUGCUUUUUGCUUCUUUCUUUCUUUAUUUAUUUUUACAUUUGUAGGGUAAAAACCUACAAAGAACCUCCAACCUAUAAAGAACCUCCAGCCAGCUUGAUUUUGUUGCUGCUACCACUGCCAGAUAUAGCAGAGCUGACAUGUUGCUGAGUUAUGUCCUAGCAAUUUUUGCUCAUGUUGUAACUUAGCUUCACCACAUUAGUUCAGUCAAGCAGUGCUGUGGCCUUCUUGAUGUGUUCCAUAUUUACACAGUUGUAAAUAUUCUGUAAAGAAUUGUGUACAAUAGUUAUUGCUUCUGAGGUUAUGACAUAGGUUCAUUCUAGGGCUAAGACUUUUUUAUUGGUAAACAGUUCCCAAAACUUAACUAUGCAUGGUUAUCUUGAUAAAACAAUUUAUAAACUAAAUAUGUUUAAGGCACAUGAACCAAAUCAAAACAAAAAAUGAUGUCAAGCCUUCCCUGAAAUUUCCAUCAGUAGGUUAACAAAGUUGGGUAUUUACUAGGCAAUGUAGACCAGUGUAUCUGAAUUGUAAUGUGUCCAUAAAAUACCUGGGAAUAUUACUAAAAUUCAGAUUCUGAUUCAGAAGGUUUAGAGUGGGACUGAGAUGCUGAGCACGUUUCAAAGCUCUCCAGUGAUACUCAUGUUGCUUGUCGAAGAACCACACUUUGAAUAGAAUGGAACUAGGGAACUGACUUCACACCCAGAUUUUUGGGCUCUGUACCUCACUUUGUAAAUCAG